GCAGUAGCCACGGUAAUACGUAGGGUGCGAGCGUUAAUCGGAAUUACUGGGCGUAAGGCGUGCGCAGGCGGUUAUAUAAGACAGAUGUGAAAUCCCCGGGCUCAACCUGGGACCUGCAUUUGUGACUGUAUAGCUAGAGUACGGUAGAGGGGGAUGGAAUUCCGCGUGUAGCAGUGAAAUGCGUAGAUAUGCGGAGGAACACCGAUGGCGAAGGCAAUCCCCUGGACCUGUACUGACGCUCAUGCACGAAAGCGUGGGGAGCAAACAGGAUUAGAUACCCCGGUAGUCCCUGUCUCUUAUAC
rnacentral:rRNA from 1 species